CACGUAGGGCGCAAGCGUUGUCCGGAAUUAUUGGGCGUAAAGAGCUCGUAGGCGGUCUGUUGCGUCCGCUGUGAAAACCCGGGGCUUAACCCCUGGCUUGCAGUGGAUACGGACAGACUAGAGGUAGGUAGGGGAGAAUGGAAUUCCCGGUGUAGAGGUGAAAUGCGCAGAUAUCGGGAGGAACACCGGUGGCGAAGGCGGUUCUCUGGGCCUUACCUGACGCUGAGGAGCGAAAGCCAGGGGAGCGAACGGG
rnacentral:rRNA from 1 species